rnacentral:rRNA from 1 species
CGGACGGGUGAGUAACGCGUGGGUAACCUGCCUCAUACAGGGGGAUAACGAUUGGAAACGAUUGCUAAUACCGCAUAAGCGCACAGUACCACAUGGUACAGUGUGAAAAACUCCGGUGGUAUGAGAUGGACCCGCGUCUGAUUAGGUAGUUGGUGAGGUAACGGCCCACCAAGCCGACGAUCAGUAGCCGACCUGAGAGGGUGACCGGCCACAUUGGGACUGAGACACGGCCCAG